rnacentral:rRNA from 1 species
GGAAGGAUCAUUACUGAAUUGUCAAACGGGCUGUUGCUGGUCCUCAAAUGGGGACAUGUGCACGCUCUGUUUACACAUCCACUCACACCUGUGCACCCUCUGUAGUUUUACGGUCUGGGGGACCCUGUCUUCCUUCCGUAGUUCUACGUCUUUACACACACACUGUAAUAAAGUCUUAUGGAAUGUAUGCCGCGUCUAACGCAACACAAUACAACUUUCAGCAACGGAUCUCUUGGCUCUCGCAUCGAUGAAGAACGCAGCGAAAUGCGAUAAGUAAUGUGAAUUGCAGAAUUCAGUGAAUCAUCGAAUCUUUGAACGCACCUUGCGCCCCUUGGAUAUUCCGAGGGGCAUGCCUGUUUGAGUAUCAUGAACACCUCAACUCUCAUGGUUUGCCAUGACGAGCUUGGACCUUGGGGGUUUUGCUGGCCUGUGGUCGGCUCCUCUCAAAUGAAUCAGCCUCCCAGUGUUUGGUGGCAUCACGAGUGUGAUAACUAUCUACGCUCGCGGUUGCCCACCAGGUAACCUUUGGUGACAAAGGUUCGCUGGAGCUCACAGAUGUCUCUCCUUAGCGAGGACAGCUUUUUAACGUUCGAUCUCAAAUCAGGUAGGACUACCCGCUGAACUUAAGCAUAUCAAUAAGCGGAGGAAAAGAAACUAACAAGGAUUCCCCUAGUAACUGCGAGUGAAGCGGGAAGAGCUCAAAUUUAAAAUCUGGCGUGCCUCUG